GCCAGCCGCCGCGGUAAUACGUAGGUCCCGAGCGUUGCGCGGAGUCACUGGGCGUAAAGCGUCCGCAGCCGGUCGGGUAAGCGGGAUGUCAAAGCCCGCCGCUCAACGGCGGAACGGCAUCCUGAACUGCCCGACUUGAGGCACGCCCGGGCAGGCGGAAUUCCCGGGGUAGCGGUGAAAUGCGUAGAUCUCGGGAGGAACACCGAAGGGGAAGCCAGCCUGCUGGGGCUGUCCUGACGGUCAGGGACGAAAGCCAGGGGAGCGAACCGGAUUAGAUACCCGGGUAGUCCUGGCCGUAAACCAUGGGCGCUAGGGCUUGUCCCUUCGGGGGCAGGCUCGCAGCUAACGCGUUAAGCGCCCCGCCUGGGGAGUACGGGCGCAAGCCUGAAACUCAAAGGAAUUGGCGGGGGCCCGCACAACCGGUGGAGCGUCUGGUUCAAUUCGAUGCUAACCGAAGAACCUUACCCGGGCUUGACAUGCCGGGGUAACCUCUGCGAAAGCGGAGGGUUUUCGUUCCUCUGGAACGAACCCCGGCACAGGUGGUGCAUGGCCGUCGUCAGCUCGUGUCGUGAGAUGUUGGGUUUAGUCCCGCAACGAGCGCAACCCCUGCCCCUAGUUGCUACCCCGUUUGGGGAGCACUCUAGGGGGACUGCCGGCGAUAAGCCGGAGGAAGGUGGGGAUGACGUCAGGUCAGUAUGCCCUUUAUGCCCGGGGCCACACAGGCGCUACAGUGGCCGGGACAAUGGGAUGCGACCCAGCGAUGGGGAGCUAAUCCCUAAACCCGGUCAUGGUGCGGAUUGGAGGCUGAAACUCGCCUCCAUGAAGCCGGAAUCGGUAGUAACGGGGUAUCAGCGAUGUCCCCGUGAAUACGUUCUCGGGCCUUGCACACACCGCCCGU
rnacentral:rRNA from 1 species